rnacentral:rRNA from 1 species
GAUGAACGCUGGCGGCGUGCCUAAUACAUGCAAGUCGAGCGAACAGACGAGGAGCUUGCUCCUCUGACGUUAGCGGCGGACGGGUGAGUAGCACGUGGAUAACCUACCUAUAAGACUGGGAUAACUUCGGGAAACCGGAGCUAAUACCGGAUAAUAUAUUGAACCGCAUGGUUCAAUAGUGAAAGACGGUUUUGCUGUCACUUAUAGAUGGAUCCGCGCCGCAUUAGCUAGUUGGUAAGGUAACGGCUUACCAAGGCGACGAUGCGUAGCCGACCUAAGAGGGUGAUCGGCCACACUGGAACUGAGACACGGUCCAGACUCCUACGGGAGGCAGCAGUAGGGAAUCUUCCGCAAUGGGCGAAAGCCUGACGGAGCAACGCCGCGUGAGUGAUGAAGGUCUUCGGAUCGUAAAACUCUGUUAUUAGGGAAGAACAAAUGUGUAAGUAACUAUGCACGUCUUGACGGUACCUAAUCAGAAAGCCACGGCUAACUACGUG